UACAGAGGGUGCAAACGUUGCUCGGAAUCAUUGGGCGUAAAGCGCACGUAGGCGGCCCAGCAAGCGGGGAGUGAAAGCCCUCGGCUUAACCGAGGAAGUGCUUUCCGAACUACUGGGCUUGAAUACUGGAGAGGGUCGCGGAAUUCCCGGUGUAGAGGUGAAAUUCGUAGAUAUCAAGAGGAAUACCUGAGGCGAAGGCGGGUUGCUAGGCUGACACUGACGCUGAGGCGCGAAAGCCAGGGGAGCAAACGGG
rnacentral:rRNA from 1 species